rnacentral:rRNA from 1 species
AUGGCUUCCUCUGCCACCAUGUUGGCGGUGGUGCUACUGGUGCUGGCGGCGGCGCAGCCAGCGCGGGCGUGCUACUCGCGGGUGUUCAGCUUCGGGGAUUCGCUGGCGGACACGGGCAACUACCGCUACGUCUACGGCAACGACACCGGGCCCAGGCUGCCCUACGGCGAGACCUUCUUCCACCGCGCCACCGGCCGCUUCUCCAAUGGCCGCAUCGUCGUCGACUUCAUCGCGGACGCGCUGGGACUGCCGUUCGUGCGGCCGUACUGGAGCGGGCGGAGCUCGGAGGACUUCGCCGGAGGAGCCAACUUCGCCGUGGGCGCCGCCACGGCGCUGAGCCCGGAAGUCUUGUGGGAGCACGGGUUCACCGCGGCUAGGGCCGACUUGGUCCACCUCGAUAUGGAGAUGAAGUGGUUCCGUGACCUGCUCCACCUGCUUUGCCCCACCGAUGUAGCCGACUGUGUGGACAUGAUGAACAAAUCUCUUUUCUUGGUUGGAGAAAUUGGGGGAAAUGACUACAACGUUCCUCUUACCUCUUUGGUGCCUGUUGAGAAGAUUCGCUCGUUCGCUCCGAGUGUUAUUUCCAAAAUUUCAUCUAUAAUCACCGAUCUGAUUGGAUUGGGAGCCAAAACUCUAUUAGUUCCCGGCAACCUCCCAAUCGGGUGCUUGCCGGUGUACCUCACGAUGUACCAGAGUGAUGACACGGGGGACUAUGAGUCAGACACAGGCUGUAUCCGUUGGAUGAACGAGUUCUCACGCUACCACAACAAACUUCUUGUGGAUGAGCUGGAAAAGUUACGGAAACUUCAUCCUAGUGUGUCGAUCAUCUAUGCUGAUUACUAUGGUGCUGCUAUGGAGAUCUUUGUUUCCCCUUCUCAGUUUGGGAUCAAGAAUCCUUUGGUGGCUUGCUGCGGUGUAGAAGGGCCUUAUGGUGUGUCAAUAACCACAAAGUGUGGACAUGGAGAAUACAAGGUGUGUGAUAACCCACAAAAGUAUGCAUCUUGGGAUGGCUUGCAUCCCACAGAAACGUCAUACAAGGCCAUUGCUGAUGGUCUGCUAAGAGGUCCAUACACUCAACCUCCAAUUGCCACCACCAAAAAUUCAUGUUCAAAACUUACCGAGCUUGUCUCGUCUGUAGAAUACAAGUUGUCGUUCCAGAUGCUCAAGUGA